rnacentral:rRNA from 1 species
GUGGGGAAUCUUGCGCAAUGGGCGAAAGCCUGACGCAGCCAUGCCGCGUGAAUGAUGAAGGUCUUAGGAUUGUAAAAUUCUUUCACCGGGGACGAUAAUGACGGUACCCGGAGAAGAAGCUCCGGCUAACUUCGUGCCAGCAGCCGCGGUAAUACGAAGGGGGCUAGCGUUGCUCGGAAUUACUGGGCGUAAAGGGCGCGUAGGCGGACAGCUUAGUCAGAGGUGAAAGCCCAGGGCUCAACCUUGGAAUUGCCGUUGAUACUGGCUGUCUUGAGUUUGGGAGAGGUGAGUGGAACUCCGAGUGUAGAGGUGAAAUUCGUAGAUAUUCGGAAGAACACCAGUGGCGAAGGCGACUCACUGGCCCAAUACUGACGCUGAGGCGCGAAAGCGUGGGGAGCAAACAGGAUUAGAAACCCGGGUAGUCC